rnacentral:lncRNA from 1 species
GCGUUUGUUUCGCUGACUAGGACUGGACUGGAUUCAUGGACCCACGGGUUAGCCACACACAUAGUUUUGGAUCUCGGUGUAAGCAAGGGGGCAGGUAAGACCGAGUGGCCAAUUUUCGGCCCAAAUUCGCUAAAACCGGUCCAAUACUGGUUAAAUUUUGGCCAAACUUUAAUCAAAAUUUACCAUACCACUCAAUACUGAUCAAAACCGGCCGAAAGCGGUCGAUACCAGAGGAGGCCGGUAGGACCGAUUUGACCAGUUUUCGGCCGAAAUUUAGAACUAUAGCCACACCAAGUUUUUUUUUCCUUUGAAUUCGUGAGCCUGACUGAUAGUACUGUUUAAUUUAUUCGAGAGAAAAAUACUGUUAAAUGGUUGACAGAUUCGACAGAUAAACUCUACGGCAAACCAAUUUCCAUUCACUUUAGUUUUCCUUAACCAUAAAUCAAAUUUCUAAAAAAAUAAACUAACAAUUAUUAAAAAAAAACAUCUAUUAAAUUCGCUAUGAAUUGUGUUUUCAUGCAUGGUGCAUGUAUUUGAACUUAUAAAUUCUGAUAUGAUCUCUUUAAAAAAAAUAAAAUUAGAAAGAUUUGACUUGGAACAAACUUAUACGUACCAGGCGAACGCAAGGAGUAGUAGAGACUUAACUCGAGAAGCCAUUUUCCACAUGCGACAUCCGUGCUAGUAAACAUGUCACAGUCUCCUCCAAGUGUCAAAAGAUCGUUGGUCACUAUGAGCAGCGAUGCACAGGGAUGUCUCCCUCACGCGUGUUGAAAUUUGUUCCAUCCCAAAAUAAAUUAAUCUAAGUUAGACUAUCUUAAAUUUAAUAAUUUCAUAUAGAAAAUAG